UACAGAGGUCUCAAGCGUUGUUCGGAUUCAUUGGGCGUAAAGGGUGCGUAGGUGGCGUCGUAAGUCAGGUGUGAAAUUUCGGAGCUUAACUCCGAAACUGCAUUUGAUACUGCGGUGCUUGAGGACUGGAGAGGAGACUGGAAUUUACGGUGUAGCAGUGAAAUGCGUAGAGAUCGUAAGGAAGACCAGUGGCGAAGGCGGGUCUCUGGACAGUUCCUGACACUGAGGCACGAAGGCCAGGGGAGCGAACGGG
rnacentral:rRNA from 1 species